AGAGUUUGAUCCUGGCUCAGGAUGAACGCUAGCUACAGGCUUAACACAUGCAAGUCGCGGGGCAGCAUGGGGGUUGCUUGCAAUCCCUGAUGGCGACCGGCGCACGGGUGAGUAACGCGUAUCCAACCUGCCCUUCACCACGGGAUAACCCGGCGAAAGUCGGACUAAUACCGUAUGUUGUCCAUUGACGGCAUCCGAUUUGGACGAAAGGCUUAGCGGUGAGGGAUGGGGAUGCGUCCGAUUAGCUCGACGGCGGGGUAACGGCCCACCGUGGCGACGAUCGGUAGGGGUUCUGAGAGGAAGGUCCCCCACACUGGAACUGAGACACGGUCCAGACUCCUACGGGAGGCAGCAGUGAGGAAUAUUGGUCAAUGGGCGGAAGCCUGAACCAGCCAAGUAGCGUGCAGGAUGACGGCCCUAUGGGUUGUAAACUGCUUUUAUGCGGGGAUAAAGUGGCUCACGUGUGGGCUUUUGCAGGUACCGCAUGAAUAAGGACCGGCUAAUUCCGUGCCAGCAGCCGCGGUAAUACGGAAGGUCCGGGCGUUAUCCGGAUUUAUUGGGUUUAAAGGGAGCGUAGGCCGCCCCUUAAGCGUGUUGUGAAAUGCGGGUGCUCAACAUCCGACUUGCAGCGCGAACUGGGGGGCUUGAGUGCGCCGAAAGUAGGCGGAAUUCGUGGUGUAGCGGUGAAAUGCUUAGAUAUCACGAAGAACUCCGAUUGCGAAGGCAGCUUACUGUAGCGCAACUGACGCUGAUGCUCGAAAGCGUGGGUAUCGAACAGGAUUAGAUACCCUGGUAGUCCACGCGGUAAACGAUGGAUGCUCGUUGUCGGCCUGUGUGGUCGGUGACCAAGCGAAAGCGUUAAGCAUCCCACCUGGGGAGUACGCCGGCAACGGUGAAACUCAAAGGAAUUGACGGGGGCCCG
rnacentral:rRNA from 1 species